rnacentral:lncRNA from 10 species
GGUGUUUUCACUUGAUUGUAGUUUAUUGUUUUCUUCUUAUUUGAAGGAAGUUACAAAAAUGGUAGAAGGCCAAAGGUACACAGACUGUGCUGGCAGAACCCAGGAUUCAGCCUAACUCUCUGACUCUCUGACUCUGUGACCUUGGAAAGUAAUUUAAUCUCUUAAUUUCCACCUUAUAAGUGGAAAUUAUAAGAGUUACUCUUAUAUAAUAAUAGGACCAACCUCUCGGGUUAAAGUGAGGAUGACAUGACAGACUGAAUGUAAUGCUCUCUGCACAGGUCCUAACUCUUAACAAGCGUUCAUGAAAUAUUGUGAACAUUAUUAUUAGCUCCUGCUAAUAUUACACCUUCCCAACUCUGCUGAUCUCUGCUAAUAGCAAAUCAUUUCACCUUUUGGGCCUCAGAUUGGCCUAUGCAAAGUUAAGGCAUCUUGCCUUUAGGACUACCUUGCUCUUAGGUCCCACACUCCUGCAAUCUCAGUUUGGAAGGUGUCUUCUUGAAUGGCCUCCUCCCUCAGCUCCCCUCCGGCUGUCUCUGUGCUGCUGGACUGAAAGUGUCUUGGGAGGGAAGCUCACAGUUGACCCUUCCUGCUAUUCCCUGGAACCUAUUAGACUUUGACUAAUAGGUCUCCAUAUUAAAUUAGCAUUUUUAUAUUGAAUUUCCAUUGCUCCUUGAGACAAGGCAAGCUUGAUGGGUUCAUGCAGAAGUAGAAGAGAAGAUCCUAGACAAACAACAGCUGAGGAUAAUGUAGCAUAAAACUCUCCAGAGAGCUUGGGAUUGGUGCUGGCAGCUCAGGGUAUAGUGGUUAUCAGUGCACAUGAAGCUCUAGGAAAGCUGACAGGAGGAAUACAAAACAAGCAUUGGACAAAGACAUCAAGGGAAGAGUGGGGGUUGAAUUGGGAAAUCAAUUUUAAUGAAAGGGGAGUCUAACUUGGGAGAUUAGGGUAGGUCUAGCGGUAAAGAGAGAUUCACAAAUAUUUAUGAGUUAUUUUUAGUCAUUUAUCCCUGAGGCAAAAGGAAGAAAUGGAGCCUUCAUUGAUCUUUAAAACAAACUGGAAUUGCAGUUUUAAGCAUGAAACUCUUUAGUUACCAAGCAUAGCGUGCUCUGGGGAGUGGUGCUUGUGAUAUUUUUCACCCUUCCCUUCUUUUUCACCUUCCACAG